AUGGCAUCUCAUCUCGAAGCUCUCUCUUCUCCAUAGCAUCUCGAAGCUCUCUUCUCCAUAGCAUCUCGAGCUUGGCCAAACCCAUCUCUUCCUUUUCUCCAUGAGGUAAUUGUCUCUGUUCUAAACAUGUUUUCUGUUUAUAUGUUGAAAACGGCAAAAGAGAACAUUUGAAAAUUGGCUUUUUAUAUGUUGGAUUUGAGACUUACAUUUGAAGAGCGUUCCUUUGCUCUCAGUAAUGUUCUUAAGCCAAUUACAUUUUUUUAUUUAAAAUACAAUUUUACAAAUGUUUUAAAAUAAAAUAUGAAGAAAUAAAAAUGGCCACAGCUUCUAUCAAACGAACAACCCAAAAAUCUGUUUCCUGGGUCGACGUCAGCGUCAACUUCCUGGUCUUCUAAACGAACGAUAAUCUGCAUCGGCGUCAGCGUCGGCGUCCACGAAACGAACAACAACUAUUUUCAUUGAAAACUGCGGCAACCAAACGAACAUUACCUAGGUGUAAUUUCAUCAUCUUCUUCUUCUUCUUUUCUUCGUUGUUGAGACACGAGAGUUUGUUUCUUCCUUUGGUUUUAUCCAAUAAACUAAAGAAUAAUUGCUUUAUAAACGACCCCAUAGCUUCUGUUGGCGUUGUAAGGAGAAGACGAAAACAACUACGGUAAGUGUCUGAAUCAACCACAACCGAAAGACUUUGAAAUAGAAAAACAAUAAACCUAGUUUUUUUUUUUAUGGGAAGCAACAACGAGCGAAUGAAUGGAUAAUCGGUGAGUGAUUAACGAUCCUUUGUAUUUAUAAUGGAGCCUUGGAGUUGGGUAAGGAAAAAAAAAAGGAAAAAUUUCAAAGUGAUUUUCCAUUUCUCUAAUCACUAUGUGCGUGUUAAGUUUUAACGCCUAAUUCUAGUUUUUAUGAUUAAUUGACUACUAGGUGUUUUGUCCGCACAUGCAGGUAUAAUCAUCUUACGAAUACUUAUUAUUUUAUGUCUUAUUAAUCUAAAAAUCGGCAUUAUAAACUCUAAUUGGUGAACAUGUUGAAGGAAUGAAUUUAUAGUGAAUUUUUUGUUCCUCAAAAUGUAUACCAAUUAUGUUAAAAUUUUAGUCAAAUUAUUGAAAGGUAGAUCCCACUUUUUUUUUCUAAAUUCCCCAUGGAAAAAAGAAUUUAUAAUAAAAAAAAAAAUCUCUAUGCAAUUUUGAUAAGGAACAAAUUGAAUAAAAAUCAUAUUUUUUUUUCAACUCCUCAAAAGAAAUUUUAUUUUUUAUUUUUUUUAUUUUUUUCAUUCUUCUAGUGGUCACCAACCGAAUCUAUAGUGUUUCACGGAUUAAACUGGCUUAAAGUAAAAGCAAGAUUAUUUGUUUUGAAUUCAGUCACAAGUUAAGUUAUUAUUUAUGAUUUUAAAUAGUUAAAUAAAACAUCAAAUUAUUUAUAUAUGUCAAAAAACGUUCAUCAAACUAUGUACUUGUUACUGUGUUAAAAGUUUUAAAAACUCAUAUUUUAGAAAUAGUAUAGAAAAUAUCUUUAUAUAAAUAUUUUUGUUUGACUAAUAUUUAAUUAUAAACUGUUUUAUAUCUUAGUUUUUAAUUUUAUAAUAAAAAAUAUUAUUUUUAGAUAGCAACACAAUAUAUAUAAGGAUUCUCUUAAUUUUUAAAUAUAUUUUUACAAUUUUAUUAUAUUAGUUUAUAAUUAAUUAUUUAAUAUAACAUAUAAAUUUAAUAUUAUUAAAAUAAAAUGCGUGUUUUAUUAUAUUUUAAAUUCAUUACGAGUUUUGUAAAAAUUAAUAAAUACUCAGUUAAAAACUAAUAAUAAAUCAAUGAAUUAUAUAAAAACUUAAAACCUAAUAAAAUAUGAAAAAUAAGAAUUUUAAUAUAAAAUAUAGAUUUUUUUUUUCUGUCAACAUAUUUUCAUUAAGACCCAUAAUGGGUAUAGUUUGGUUUAGGUACAAGAUGGUUAGGAACAAACCACAAGCAACGUAAAAGAUAAGAUUGAGACAAAAUAAGUGGAGUCCACGUGUUGCAAAAACUGUGGCUUGCAAAGGACUCCAGAAGUCUCCACCUCUUUCAAACUCGCCGUUCCAAUCAGAUCGUGUUACAGUGCUUUUUCGGCGAUGCAGAUUAUAGUUUAACUCUUGCCGUGAAGCUCCAGAGAUUCCUUCUACCAAACAUGUACCGAAUUAAUCUCUUCGCAGUUGAUAACCGAAAGAAACCGAAAGGCGGAAGCUUUCUCCGGUAUAGUAGUCCUCCGUUGAUUGGUGAACAAGUACUCUCCGGAAACCUCAUCAAACUCGACGAAAAGCUCCGAAUCACCAUACUCUACCCCCAUCAACAACAUCAUCUCGAUCCUUCACUCAAGGAGAACCUAUGCUUCAAAGUAAAUCUUUAUGACAAAGCAAGGAUUUACACACGCAUGAGAGAUGGAACAAGCAGCCAAAAAGGAAG
rnacentral:lncRNA from 1 species